GAAAUGCGAUAAGUAAUGUGAAUUGCAGAAUUCAGUGAAUCAUCGAAUCUUUGAACGCACCUUGCGCCCUUUGGCUAUUCUGAAGGGCAUGCCUGUUUGAGUAUCAUGAACACCUCAACUCUCGUGGUCUGCCGCGAUGAGCUUGGACUUUGGGGGUCUUGCUGGCCUAGCGUCGGCUCCUCUCAAAUGGAUCAGCUUGCCAGUGUUUGGUGGCGUCACAGGUGUGAUAACUAUCUACGCUUGUGGUUUUCUGCCAUGUAACCUUCAGCAAUGGAGGUUUGCUGGGGCUCACAGAUGUCUCUCCUUGGGGAGGACAGCUUUUUGAACGUUUGAUCUCAAAUCAGGUAGGACUACCCGCUGAACUUAA
rnacentral:misc_RNA from 1 species